rnacentral:rRNA from 1 species
AGUAAACCGCUUUUGUUCGUGAAGAAAUCUUCUGUUUUAAUACCCCGGGGGGAUGGCUGUCCAGAAGAAUAAGCACCGUCUAUCUAUGUCCCAGCAGCCGCUGUAAUAUGUAGGGUGAGAGUGUUAAUCCAAAUUACUGGGUGUAAAGUGUGCGCAGGCGGUUGUGCAAGACAGAUGUGAAAUCCCCGGUCUUAUCCUGGGAUCUGCAUUUGUGACUGCAUGUCUAGAGUGCGGCAGAGGAGAGUGAAAUUCCGUGUGUAGCAGUGAAAUGUGUAGAUAUGCGGAGGCACCCCGAUGGAGAAGGCAUCUCCCUGGGCUUGCACUGACGCUAAUGCACGAAAGCGUGGGGAGCACACAGUAUUAUAUCCCGUGAUACUCCACGCCAUAAAAGAUAUCAUCUGGUUGUUGGUCAUUCACCUCCAUCAGUACCGUAGUUAACGCGUGAAGUAU